AUUCUUACCUGGCAGGGGAGAUACCAUGAUAUUGGAGAUGGUUCUCCUAUGGCAAGUCUUGUCCAUUCCACUCGGCAUGUGCUGACCACUGAAAAUUCCCCAAAAGCAAGAAACUCAACUGCAUAAUUUGUGAUAGUAGGUGACUACAUUUGCACCUU